CCCUUAGAUGUUCUGGGCGGCCCGCGCACUACAAUGGCGUGUGCAGCGAGUGCCGAAGUAGAGUUUUCCGAGGUGUUCUUGCAAUGCUCGUUUUGAUGGGGAUAGACCCUUGCAACUGUUGGUUUUGAACGAGGAAUUCCUUGUAAGCAUGGUUUAUCAUCCGACGCUGAAUGCGUCCCUGCCCUUUGUACACACCGCCCGUCGCUCCUACCGAUGAGUCGUCCGGUGAAGUUCGUAGACCUCGUGAUCGCGGAUCACUGGGGGAAGCAAAAUGAACCUCGCGGUUUAGAGGAAGGAGAAGUCGUAACA
rnacentral:rRNA from 1 species